rnacentral:rRNA from 1 species
UACGUAGGGUGCGAGCGUUGUCCGGAAUUACUGGGCGUAAAGCGUGCGCAGGCGGCUUUGCAAGACAGAUGUGAAAUCCCCGGGCUUAACCUGGGAACUGCAUUUGUGACUGCAUGGCUGGAGUGCGGCAGAGGGGGAUGGAAUUCCGCGUGUAGCAGUGAAAUGCGUAGAUAUGCGGAGGAACACCGAUGGCGAAGGCAAUCCCCUGGGCCUGCACUGACGCUCAUGCGCGAAAGCGUGGGGAGCAAACAGG